CGUCCUCGCAGGUGGCGCUUCUUUGCAGUCGCCAGGCGCGUUAGGGAAAACAAUUGCCAGCAAGGAAGGAGAAAAACUUCCCACAUCCUAAAAUCCUUGCUCGGGUUGAUCCCUUGUUUAGGAGCGCAGGGCUCAGCACCCCGACUCUCGGAGAAGAACCCUCAUGUUCACUUCUGUUUCUAGAAGGACCAAUGUCCCUCCCUAUCUCCCCCAAGGCUAGGUGCCCCCGAGGGGCUAGAAAUGAGGGUUUGAUACAAACAAUCCGGUGGCCAGCUCUUUCACCACAGUUUGCUCAGGUACGGUGAAAACUGUCACGCCUUAACUCACAGCAAUUUGAGAAGCGGAGCCCGGAACCAGAUCUAGCUGGGUUUCAACUACAGGUGUCCCUGGAGUGGGAAGUGUCUACUGUGACUUGUUCAUGUCAAGCCAGAUCCUGAUGUUAGAAAGAGAUCCCAGAAUGCUAACAAGUUGAGAAUUCUUGGGUUUCCAACUUGAUGUGAAACAAGCACUCCUCUGAAACUGUGUUCAACACGUAGAGCUGGAGCACCAAAAUCAGUGGUCUUGAGUCACAAAUCUCCUGGGCUUUGGAAGACAUCGAUGACCCAGCAGCAUGCCUUAGGAGUGGUGGCAUGGUGGGGAGCUCAGGAGCCCAGGGCUUCUGACCUUUGGAGCCUGCCUGUUGAGGGUGCUAAUUCUCCUACUGCUCACCCCUCCUACUUGAUCCUUCAGCUCUUCACUUUUGGUUCUGAAUUGACUUCAGACUUACUCUGCUGUUUUGGCAGACUGAUCUUUCAAAGACUGAAGGGAAGAAGCACAGUCUUUGUAUGUCUCUGAAGCUUAUUGUUUGCAAGCUAAUUCCACGUGUGUUUUCCCUCGCAUGUAACCCUCACACCAAGCCCAAGGUGUAUCAUCAUUACACCGGUUUCACAGAUUAAAUAGUUGGUACUGGGGAGCAAAGGAAACAAGCAACCUUGGAAACUACACGAUGCUGUUUUACAAUUUUGUCUUUUGCUUGGGAAGUCACUGUUUCUUUGUCAGAACUAAAUGAAAAAAGCCCAGUAGCCUGCCAUUGAAACAGUGCAGAAUUUCUGCAUUUCAUUUGGCUUAUAGAAGAGGAUGUGAAAUGGAAGGGAGUGUAGCUAUACUCAUUUGUACAAUGGAAAACGCACUUAAAAGGACUUCUUUUCAUUGAUCACGUAAAUCAGCCAUGCUAUUGUGAUGCCUAGAGUUGGUUAAUUGGUCAAUGGCUCAGAGGAUAAAUAAAACUCCAGAAGCCUCUUCAUUAGAUUUGGGCAGAGAGAUAGCUUUUUCAAAGUCCAAUUUGCCUUUAGUAUUUAUUUCCUUCAUUAUAAAAAGCAAGGAAUGGAGCUAGUUAUGUAACGUCCCGAAGAGAACUGCAGACAAAGAUGGAUCAGCCUUUUGGCUACCCCAUUAGGGCAGAAGGCACAGGUCAGAGUCAAAGCAGGGACAGUUGAGCAUGUUCUUGGAGCCAUGUGAGGGUACCACCAAAUUAGGAAAGAGAGAUUUUGUGGUAGGUCAUCAAUAAAGAGACUUCUUUUGCUUUGUUCAAUUUAAUUUCUACGUCUUCUGUUCUCUACGGUUCCAGAAGUGACUGCACUACAUCUAAUUCAAUAAUCUAUUAAUAUUGGUUGAGCCAAAACUACUGUGGUUUGAAUAUGCUCUACCCAGGGAGUGACUAAUACUAUUUGAAGUGUGGCCUUGAAGUAGGUGUGGCCUUGUUGAAGGAAGUGUGUCACUGUGGGCAUGGGCUUUAAGACCCUCAUCCUAGCUGCCUGGAGUCCAGUUUUCUCCUAGCAGCCUUCAAAUGAAGAUGCAGAACCCUCAGCUCCUCCUGUACCAUGCCUGCCUGGACACUGCCAUGAUCCUUCCUUGAUGAUAAUGGACUGAACCUCUGAGCCUGUAACACAGCCCCGAUUAAAUUACUGUCCUUAUAA
ensembl:processed_transcript predicted gene 10433